GGGGAGGUACUCAAGUGGCUAACGAGGGCAGACUGUAAAUCUGUUGAUAAAAUCUUCGCAGGUUCGAAUCCUGCUCUCCCCA
rnacentral:tRNA from 1 species